GACGAACGCUGGCGGCGUGCUUAACACAUGCAAGUCGAACGGAAAGGCCCUGCUUUUGUGGGGUGCUCGAGUGGCGAACGGGUGAGUAACACGUGAGUAACCUGCCCUUGACUUUGGGAUAACUUCAGGAAACUGGGGCUAAUACCGGAUAGGAGCUCCUGCUGCAUGGUGGGGGUUGGAAAGUUUCGGCGGUUGGGGAUGGACUCGCGGCUUAUCAGCUUGUUGGUGGGGUAGUGGCUUACCAAGGCUUUGACGGGUAGCCGGCCUGAGAGGGUGACCGGCCACAUUGGGACUGAGAUACGGCCCAGACUCCUACGGGAGGCAGCAGUGGGGACUAUUGCACAAUGGGCGGAAGCCUGCUGCAGCAACGCCGCGUGCGGGAUGACGGCCUUCGGGUUGUAAACCGCUUUCGCCUGUGACGAAGCGUGAGUGACGGUAAUGGGUAAAGAAGCACCGGCUAACUACGU
rnacentral:rRNA from 1 species